CCUACGGGAGGCAGCAGUCGAGAAUCAUUCACAAUGGGGGAAACCCUGAUGGUGCGACGCCGCGUGGGGGAAUGAAGGUCUUCGGAUUGUAAACCCCUGUCAUGUGGGAGCAAAUUAAAAAGAUAGUACCACAAGAGGAAGAGACGACUAACUCUGUGCCAGCAGCCGCGGUAAUACAGAGGUCUCAAGCGUUGUUCGGAAUCACUGGGCGUAAAGCGUGCGUAGGCUGUUUCGUAAGUCGUGUGUGAAAGGCGCGGGCUCAACCCGCGGACGGCACAUGAUACUGCGAGACUAGAGUAAUGGAGGGGGAACCGGAAUUCUCGGUGUAGCAGUGAAAUGCGUAGAUAUCGAGAGGAACACUCGUGGCGAAGGCGGGUUACUGGACAUUAACUGACGCUGAGGCACGAAGGCCAGGGGAGCGAAAGGGAUUAGAUACCCGGGUAGUC
rnacentral:rRNA from 1 species